rnacentral:lncRNA from 1 species
GAUUUUUCUCAGAAAAUUUAUUAUUUAUUAAAUGUUGAGUGACCAAUAAAAAUAGCUUUAAGUCUAUAACUAAAUGCAUCAAAGAACUACAAGGUAUUCUAGACAUUACAAUAUGUGAAAGUUUCACAUUAACCGCUUGUCAAUCUUAAGAAACUCCCAUUCGAACUUUAACUUUCAAUGUCCCAAUAAGAGCUUCUUUCACAUUUUUUAUGGCAAAAAUAAUUCAAUUACGUUGGGCAACUUUCUUACAUCACCAUGUAUUAGUAUUACGCAUUUCCUCUUCCAUUCCCCAAAGAAAUCCUCACACACACUGCAAGAAAAUAGCGAAAUCCCCUUUCCUCGAAUUUCGUUCCACAAAAAACUACAUAAAGUAAGGGAAAUUUCGAGUUUUGCAAGCAACGCUUCUACUCAAAAAAUGAAAUAUUCCAAAUGCUUUCUCGAAAUUCUUGCUCCCACCACCGAAAGCACGACCAAGUACCAUUUCCACCACAAUCCAAAAACUCAACGAAACUUGGAUAAAAAGCCUUUCAUCGACCUUUGCUGCCUUGGUUCGUACAUGGGACCUUUACUUUACGUCUCUUUUUAUGUUCGAUACUGUCCAAUUUAAUAUGAACACAAUAUUACUACCCAAAAGGCUAGCCAAGCCAAGCUAUUUGCGUUAAUGAUGAAUUCACCCCACAAUUAAAAAAGAAUGGUUUAAAUAAAUACAUACACCUACUAUAUAUAUAUAAAAUAAAUUUACACAAAGACAGAGAAACCAAUUGCACAAACCUCUUUAAAUUCUCCAUUGCAGCCUCCGUCAUUUCUAACCAUCCUACCAUUAAAUGCGACCAGCAGAUAAUUAAUUUCCCGCCACGCUCUCACCCACCCAUUUACAGUUCCCCGAUGACAGGCAUUAAUUUCCUGUACACGUGUCACAUUCUUCACCGUCUGUUAAAUCUUUCCGGGGAUAAUAGCGCCUCUGGAUCACCGCUCCUUAGCCGGCUUGAUGAAAAAUGCCCAGCCGCUGUAGCUGAUGAUCUCAUGAACAUUGGACUUGCAAAUGACUUGCUUCUUCUCGAAGAGCUGCCUCCUCCGCCGGAUAAGCCGAGCCGCACGCUAGACUCGGACAAUGGGAAAAACCCGCCGCUCCGACGGCGGGAAAAUGGAGAUUUCAUUCCUCUGUAGUAUCGGAAUGAGAAAACCCUAGGUUUUGUUAAUGAAGUGAAUGGGGAAGGGCGUUUAUUCCAGAAACUUCCUCCGCCGCCUCUUCUGUACCGCCACGGUGAGGUGGUUGCCGGUUCUAAAACUAAUCUCUCUGAUCCUAAAUUUCUUUCGAAUCCAAAUGAAUAAGACCUUUUUAACAAAAAAUCGCGGCCGUUGAAUCGUUCCUCGGAUUGGUUGUUCCGUCGCGGCGAAGGUUCCUGGGUGAUUUCGCCGACGCUAGUUGAAUCAGGUUCCAGGGGAAUCUCGGUUAGAGGCUCGAGGAUUGUGCUCUCGACGAUCAUAUCUUCCAGGCUAGGGCGAAUUCUUGCUGCCAUCAGUGGUGUGAACGGAGACUCAGGACGGAAUAUCCCGGCGCGACACAGAGGGCAAUUGGCGUGUGACCGGAGCCAUAUAUCUAUACAAUCCACGUGAAAGGCGUGUGAACACACCGGAAGAGUACGAAUAUAAUCAUUUUCUUCGAAUUCUAAUAAACAAACUGCACAAUCAUGAAUUCCUCUCUUUCGUGUGUACACUGAUAGAGGAAUGGUUUUGAUGAUCGAUUCGUCAAGGCCGUAAGGGGAAAGAACGUGGAAAGCAGAGUCAAUAGGAUCGAAGGAGUAAGUUGGCGACUCGAUGUCCCCGGCGGAGGUGGAGGGAACGUAGCGUCGGCGACGGCGGCGCCAUCUUUGGUAUCGGCGAUAGAGCUGGUGAAAGUGGCGAGAGAGGAGCCGCGAGUAAGUUAUGAUGACAAAAGCAGUUGCUAUGAUAACCACCAUGGCAAUCAACGGGGGACUAAAGUCCACCGGAAGCUUCGACGGAGGCGAUGAUGACCUUUCCGCCGAUGACUCUGCUAAAGUCUCCGGCGACGGUGAAUGAGAUGGGGCCAACUUAGCAUAAUUCCUUUCAUGAGGAGUCGGCGCAGGUGACGGUACUGGAGCAGGUGGUGGGAGUAUGUGAUGACGGUUAACCAUAGCGGUGGUAGACGUUGGAGCCUGGAGGAAAUGGGCUGAGGGCGGUAGUGGGUGGUCGUGGUAAGUGAGGGUUUAAUGGAAAAUUUGAAUGUGCUGUGUUAUUUCGUUGACUUAUGUUGUUGGAACUGGUGGGUAAUUGACACGUCAUUUUUGCUGAAAUUAAUGCCACGAGAUUUCUUUUAAUUACGAUGUUGUAGAGAUUCUUCUACUGUGAAUGAAUGUACAGUGCGACGUUCUAGGAUUUUUUAUUUUUAUUUUUGUUUGCGUGGGGGUGG